rnacentral:rRNA from 1 species
AGUGAACGCUGGCGGCAGGCCUAACACAUGCAAGUCGAGCGGCAGCGGGUCCUUCGGGAUGCCGGCGAGCGGCGGACGGGUGAGGAAUGCGCCGGAAUCUGCCUUUUUGUGGGGGAUAACGUAGGGAAACUUACGCUAAUACCGCAUACGACCUACGGGUAAAAGUGGGGGACCGCAAGGCCUCACGCAGAAAGAUGAGCCGACGCCGGAUUAGCUAGUUGGCGGGGUAAAGGCCCACCAAGGCGACGAUCCGUAGCUGGUCUGAGAGGAUGAUCAGCCACACUGGAACUGAGACACGGUCCAGACUCCUACGGGAGGCAGCAGUGGGGAAUAUUGGACAAUGGGCGCAAGCCUGAUCCAGCCAUGCCGCGUGUGUGAAGAAGGCCUUCGGGUUGUAAAGCACUUUUGUCCGGAAAGAAAUCCAAUCGAUUAAUACUCGGUUGGGAUGACGGUACCGGAAGAAUAAGCACCGGCUAACUUCGUGCCAGCAGCCGCGGUAAGAC